AGCAGGAUGGCGCAGUGGGAGCGUAUUGGGCUGUUAACCCGAAGGCCCAUGGUUCAAAGCCACGUUUUGCUA